CCUACGGGUGGCAGCAGUGGGGAAUAUUGGACAAUGGGGGCAACCCUGAUCCAGCCAUGCCGCGUGUGUGAAGAAGGCCCUCGGGUUGUAAAGCACUUUCAGUGAGGAAGAACGCCUGGUGGUUAAGACCCAUCAGGAAAGACAUCACUCACAGAAGAAGCACCGGCUAACUCCGUGCCAGCAGCCGCGGUAAUACGGAGGGUGCGAGCGUUAAUCGGAAUUACUGGGCGUAAAGCGCGCGUAGGUGGCUUGAUAAGCCGGUUGUGAAAGCCCCGGGCUCAACCUGGGAACGGCAUCCGGAACUGUCAAGCUAGAGUGCAGGAGAGGAAGGUAGAAUUCCCGGUGUAGCGGUGAAAUGCGUAGAGAUCGGGAGGAAUACCAGUGGCGAAGGCGGCCUUCUGGACUGACACUGACACUGAGGUGCGAAAGCGUGGGUAGCAAACAGGAUUAGAUACCCCUGUAGUC
rnacentral:rRNA from 1 species